GAUUGGUUUGUUUAAUAUAUUUUUUUGAAAAAUGUGAAAUUUUUUGUUGAAGGCCGUUUUGGAAGAAAAAAAGCUUGAGCUUCCUUUGUAUCUGUUUUCGAUGGCGGCAUUCUUCCUCCCCCAACGCUGCAUUUUGCCUCUCUUCCUCUGUCCUGUUGUCCAUUAACGACUAAAGAAAACAGGGAUCACAGUCCGUUCAUACUUUUCUCUGCACUCAAGGAGUUUCUCUAGUUCCUCUAAACACCAAUGAGAAGAAGCAUAAUAUGAUCAACAAGAUUUCUGAUCGUUCAAUUGCUAGAACAAGUGAUGGCCAUAUUUCAUGUUCCCUUUUAAGUUCAGCAUCUAUAAAGGCACAUAUUUUCUUUCUUUGAAAAGCAGCAAUCAAAUGGCUAAGAAGCGUGUGGCGGAUGUCCUCAUCCCUGAAGCUAACAAAAACAUCAUACUUUAUUUGAGGAGUUCUGUUCUCUGAGGACUUUUCCUCCAACCAUUACUUCAGUUUCUUAGCGCAUGGUUCUCUAACACUGAUAUAAUGUGUAUGAUAGGAGGGAAUAUAUUGAGAAGUAGUUGUGAAUUAGGUUGUUAAGAUGAUUGAGAUUUCCUUUAUAUAGUUGGAUAAUUUUGUAGAUUGAACUUUAACUCUUUGCGAAGAGAAAACCCUUAGAGGAGAGAGUGUUCUCCUGUUUUGUGUUCUUUCAAGUUUAUAUAACAGAAUAUUAAUCUUUGUGAAGAGGAAACCCUUAGAGGAGAGAGUGUUUUCCUAUUUUGUGUUCUUUAAAGUUUAUACAAUAAAGAAUAUUAAUCUUCUUUCU